ACUACGGGAGGCAGCAGUGGGGAAUAUUGGGCAAUGGGCGCAAGCCUGACCCAGCAACGCCGCGUGAAGGAAGAAGGCUUUCGGGUUGUAAACUUCUUUUAUCAGGGACGAAGCAAGUGACGGUACCUGAUGAAUAAGCCACGGCUAACUACGUGCCAGCAGCCGCGCUAAUACGUAGGUGGCAAGCGUUAUCCGGAUUUACUGGGUGUAAAGGGCGUGUAGGAGGGAGUGCAAGUCAGAUGUGAAAACUAUGGGCUCAACCCAUAGCCUGCAUUUGAAACUGUACUUCGUGAGGGCUGGAGAGGCAAUCGGAAUUCCGGGUGUAGCGGUGAAAUGCGUAGAUAUACGGAGGAACACCAGUGGCGAAGGCGGAUUGCUGGACAGUAACUGACGCUGAGGCGCGAAAGCGUGGGGAGCAAACAGGAUUAGAUACCCCGGUAGUC
rnacentral:rRNA from 1 species